UGGCUCAGUUGGUAGAGUAUGGUGUUUGCAACGCCAGCAUGGAGUGUGCAACACCAGGGUUGUGGGUUCGAUUCCCAC
rnacentral:tRNA from 1 species